rnacentral:rRNA from 1 species
GACGAACGCUGGCGGCGUGCCUAAUACAUGCAAGUCGAGCGGAUGGAAGGAAGCUUGCUUCCUAAAGUCAGCGGCGGACGGGUGAGUAACACGUGGGCAACCUGCCCCUAAGAUCGGGAUAACUUCGGGAAACCGGAGCUAAUACCGGAUAUGAUUAUGUCUCACAUGAGACAUAAUGGAAAGACGGUUUCGGCUGUCACUUAGGGAUGGGCCCGCGGCGCAUUAGCUAGUUGGUGAGGUAACGGCUCACCAAGGCGACGAUGCGUAGCCGACCUGAGAGGGUGAUCGGCCACAGUGGGACUGAGAAACGGCCCAGACUCCUACGGGAGGCAGCAGUAGGGAAUCUUCCGCAAUGGACGAAAGUCUGACGGAGCAACGCCGCGUGAGUGAAGAAGGUUUUCGGAUCGUAAAACUCUGUUGUUAGGGAAGAACAAGUACCAUAGUAACUGAUGGUACCUUGACGGUACCUAACCAGAAAGCCACGGCUAACUACGUGCCAGCCGCCGCCGUAAGAC